UGCCAGCCGCCGCGGUAAUACGGAGGGUGCAAGCGUUAUCCGGAAUUACUGGGCGUAAAGCGCGCGUAGGCGGUUUAUUAAGUCAGAUGUGAAAGCCCGGGGCUCAACCCCGGAACUGCAUUUGAAACUGGUAAACUAGAAUUCGGUAGAGGAUGGUGGAAUUCCUAGUGUAGAGGUGAAAUUCGUAGAUAUUAGGAGGAACACCAGUGGCGAAGGCGACCAUCUGGGCCGAUAUUGACGCUGAGGCGCGAAGGCGUGGGUAGCGAACGGGAUUAGAUA
rnacentral:rRNA from 1 species